CGAGAAAGUCGGCUUGUUGAUUCUUAUUUCGGUAAGGGUAGGAAAGUCCGGACACCAUAGAGCAGCAAAGCGGAUAACAUCCGUCAUCCGUGAGGAUAGGACAAGUGCAACAGAAAGCAGGUACAGUUCGGCUGUAGUGAAACCAGGUAAACUCUUUGCGGUGCAAUGAUAAGUAUAUCGGUUCUUUUCAGCAAUGGAAAUAGGGGCGGCUCGUCCUGAAAACCGAGGGGUAAUCAGCUCAAGUUUUGCAGUAAUGUAAAACGCAGAUAAAUAACAGGCAUCCCGAAUUUUUGGGAGACAAAAUCCGGCUUAUAGAUUUUCUCGUGAU
rfam:Chryseobacterium formosense strain LMG 24722 contig01, whole genome shotgun sequence.